rnacentral:rRNA from 1 species
UGAUCCUGGCUCAGAACGAACGCUGGCGGCACGCCUAACACAUGCAAGUCGAGCGCUUCACUUCGGUGAGGAGCGGCGGACGGGUUAGUAACGCGUGGGAACAUACCCUUCUCUAAGGAAUAGCCUCGGGAAACUGAGAGUAAUACCUUAUACGCCCUUCGGGGGAAAGAUUUAUCGGAGAAGGAUCGGCCCGCGUUAGAUUAGAUAGUUGGUGGGGUAAUGGCCUACCAAGUCUACGAUCUAUAGCUGGUUUUAGAGGAUGAUCAGCAACACUGGGACUGAGACACGGCCCAGACUCCUACGGGAGGCAGCAGUGGGGAAUCUUAGACAAUGGGCGCAAGCCUGAUCUAGCGAUGCCGCGUGAGUGAUGAAGGCCUUAGGGUCGUAAAGCUCUUUCGCCAGGGAUGAUAAUGACAGUACCUGGUAAAGAAGUCCCGGCUAACUCCGUGCCAGCAGCCGCGGUAAUACGGAGGGGACUAGCGUUGUUCGGAAUUACUGGGCGUAAAGCGCACGUAGGCGGAUCAGAAAGUAUAGGGUGAAAUCCCAGGGCUCAACCCUGGAACUGCCUUAUAAACUCCUGGUCUUGAGUUCGAGAGAGGUGAGUGGAAUUCCGAGUGUAGAGGUGAAAUUCGUAGAUAUUCGGAGGAACACCAGUGGCGAAGGCGGCUCACUGGCUCGAUACUGACGCUGAGGUGCGAAAGUGUGGGGAGCAAACAGGAUUAGAUACCCUGGUAGUCCACACCGUAAACGAUGAAUGCCAGUCGUCGGGUAGCAUGCUAUUCGGUGACACACCUAACGGAUUAAGCAUUCCGCCUGGGGAGUACGGUCGCAAGAUUAAAACUCAAAGGAAUUGACGGGGGCCCGCACAAGUGGUGGAGCAUGUGGUUUAAUUCGAACAACGCGCAGAACCUUACCAACCCUUGACAUCCUCGGACCGCCAGAGAGAUCUGGUUUUCUCGUAAGAGACCGAGUGACAGGUGCUGCAUGGCUGUCGUCAGCUCGUGUCGUGAGAUGUUCGGUUAAGUCCGGCAACGAGCGCAACCCACAUCUUUAGUUGCCAGCAGGUUAAGCUGGGCACUCUAGAGAAACUGCCCGUGAUAAGCGGGAGGAAGGUGUGGAUGACGUCAAGUCCUCAUGGCCCUUACGGGUUGGGCUACACACGUGCUACAAUGGUAGUGACAAUGGGUUAAUCCCAAAAAACUAUCUCAGUUCGGAUUGGGGUCUGCAACUCGACCCCAUGAAGUCGGAAUCGCUAGUAAUCGCGUAACAGCAUGACGCGGUGAAUACGUUCCCGGGCCUUGUACACACCGCCCGUCACACCAUGGGAGUUGGGUUCACCCGAAGGCCGUGCGCCAACCUCUUCGGAGGAGGCAGCGGACCACGGUGAGCUCAGCGACUGGGGUGAAGUCGUAACAAGGUA